CUAAAAUAGUUUAAUUUAAAAUAUUGGUUUGUGGUAUCAAAGAUUUUUUUAUUUUGGUUU
rnacentral:tRNA from 1 species